UCGUGCAAAUCUUCGUCUGACUUGGGUAUAGGGGCGAAAGACUAAUCGAACCAUCUAGUAGCUGGUUCCCUCCGAAGUUUCCCUCAGGAUAGCUGGAGCUCGAGCGUGAGUUCUAUCGGGUAAAGCCAAUGAUUAGAGGCAUCGGGGGCGCAACGCCCUCGACCUAUUCUCAAACUUUAAAUAGGUAGGACGGUGCGGCUGCUUUGUUGAGCCGUGCCACGGAAUCGAGAGCUCUAAGUGGGCCAUUUUUGGUAAGAGAACUGGCGA
rnacentral:rRNA from 1 species